rnacentral:lncRNA from 10 species
AUGUCUAGUUGAGAAGAAAUAACUGGAGAUAGAGUAGUUCCCCUUUAUCCGCAGUGGAUACAUUCCAAGACCCCUAAUGGAUGCUUGAAACCUUGGAUGGUGUCUGCCUUUGUUCAUUUUCUGUUACUAGAAUACCACAGACUGGAGAAUUUAUAAAGAACAGAAGUUUAUUUGGCGCAUGGUUCUGGAGGCUGGGAAGUCCAAAAGCAUGGUGCAGGCAUCUGGCAAGGAUCACCUCAUAGCAGGAAGCAUCAUAUGGCAAGGGCUGGAAGCCCAAGAUCAAGGUGCCAGCAGGAUUGGCUUAUGGUGAGACCUCUUUCUUUGGCUUGGAGAUGACACCUUCUUUCUGUGUCCUCACAUGGACUCUUCUCUGGGAUAAGAAUAUGAGACAAGCAGCCACUGGCCCCUAAUGAGGAGAUUCAUGAAGACCUUAACCCAGCCUUCAGUCUGGAGCCUCCUUGAGCCUAGAUGG